rnacentral:rRNA from 1 species
AUGGCUCUCCGGCGCAUCGCCGGCGCGCCGACGUCUUCCUCCUUCUUCAAGUCCUUCACUACUGUUCUCCCACUGGCAGCGGAGACCGCGUCCGCCUCCCCGUCCUACCUUGCCCACCACCUGCUCGACGAAUUCUCCCGCCCGCGCGCCUCCCGCGACGGGGAGCGCCUCCGCCGCCUCGCCGCCCACCUCACCGCGCCCGCGGUGGAAUCCGUCAUCGCGCGGCUCCCCUCCUGGCGCCACGCGCUCGACUUCUUCCGCUGGGCCGACGAGCAGCCGGGCUUCCGCCACUCCUGCUACUCGUUCAACGCCAUGGCCUCGCUCCUGCGCCGCCGCCAGCCCGCCCACCUCGACCGCCUUGCCGCCGACGCGCUCGCCGCGGGCUGCCCCAUGACGCCCGGCGCGCUGGGGUUCCUCCUCCGCUGCCUCGGCGACGCCGGGCUUCCUGACACUGCCUCUCGUGUCUUUGACAGCGCGAGGGCGCGCCUUAGCUGCACUCCCAACUCAUACACCUUCAACUGCCUUCUUGACGCGCUGGCUAAGGCCGGCCGCGCAGACGACGCGGAGGCAAGGCUCCAGGAGAUGCUGGUGAAAUGCGGGGAUGGAAGUGUCGACAAGUACACCCUCACCUCACUCCUGCAGUGCUACUGCAAUGCAGGCCGUCCAGAUGACGCCAACGACGUGUUCCAAAGGAUGAGCCAGCAUGGGUGGGUGGACGAGCAUGUGCUGACGAUGCUGGCGGUGGCGUUCAGCAAGUGGGGGAAGGUGGACGGGGCGGUUGACCUCGUGGGGAGGAUGGAAGUGUUGGGGAUGAGGCCGAGUGAGAGGACACUUAGCGUGCUGGUCCAUGGGUUUGCAAAACAGCGCAGGAUCGACAAGGCCAUCGAGAUGUUUGACAAGAUGGCCGCUUAUGGUUAUGUUGCCGAUUUGCCAAUGUACGGCGUGUUAAUUGAGGGUCUCUGCAGGCAGAAGCAAAUAGGAAAGGCGGUGAAAAUAUUUGAGGUAAUGAAGAGCAGUGAGGUUGUUCCUGAUGUCCGCUUACUCAAGAAUAUGAUUGAGGCUUUCAUUCAUGAAGGAGAUUUUGACAUUGUUGGCCCGUUUAUCAUUGAAAAUGCUGGGAAGUUGAAACCCAGUGAUGUUACCACACUGUACAAUGUGGUUCUACAAGGUCUUGUUAACCACGGGCAGGUAGAAGCAGCUUAUCAGUUGCUCACCUCAAGGGUACGUGGUGUUCAGGGGAUUAGUGAUGGUUUGACUGUUGGUGCACAUGUGUUCGAUAUUGUGCAGGAUGUGAAGCCAAACUCUGAUUCCUUCAAUAUUGUUGUGUGUGGCCUUUGUAAGGUUAAGAAGCUGGAUGAUGCCUUAGCUCUCGUAAAGGAUAUGGUUGGCUUUGGCAGCAAGGGAAAGCUAUUGAUGUUUAAUGAUUUGAUCCAUGAGUUGUGCAAUUUAGAUAGGUUGGAUGAAGGAUACAAAUUGUUUAACCAAAUGAAGGAUCUUGGUGUGAUUCCUUCGGAGUUCACAUAUAAUUCAUUAUUUUAUGGCAUUUGUAGGAGAAAGGAUCCAAAUGGUGCCUUUGAUUUACUGAGGGAGAUGUGCACCAAUGGACAUAAACCAUGGAUAAAGAACUGCACAGAGAUGGUGCAACAGCUUUGCUUCAGUGGCAGGAUAACAGAAGCUCUUGGCUUUCUAGAGGAAAUGCUCAAAAUGGGUUUUCUUCCUGAUAUCGUGACAUACUCCGCAGCCAUGAAUGGACUGUGUAAAACCGGUGAGGUGGACAAUGCUUUAGGACUCUUCCGUGACAUUUCUGCCAAAUUUUAUCUUCCUGAUGUGGUAGCACAUAAUAUCUUGAUAAACGGGUUCCGUGUAUCAGGUAAAUUGAAUGAGGCGCAAAAAAUUAUGGAAGAGAUGUUGGAGAAGGGUCUGUUUCCUUCUGUUGUUACCUACAAUCUUAUGAUUGAUGUUUGGUGCAAGUCUGGCAAUAUUGAAAAAGCUGUUGAUUGCUUAAAUAAAAUGGUUGAUGAAGAAAAGUCGCCCACAGUAGUUACAUACACAAGCUUGAUAGAUGGAUUCUGCAGUGCUGGAAGACCUGACGAAGCCAUUGUUUUGUGGCACAAAAUGAGUGCUAAAAGUUGUGCUCCAAAUAAGAUAGCAUAUACUGCUUUUGUAAAUGGAUUGGGCAAGUGUGGUCGAGUAGAGACUGCACUGACCUACUAUGAGGAGAUGAUGACGAAAGGUUUUGUGUUAGAUACCUUUUCCUGCUUAUAUUUUAUAAAUGCUUUGAUAUCAAAUGGGAAUACAACUAAAGGAUGUGAACUUUUGAAAGAGGUUCUUCAAAGGGACAUGACACAGGGUGAUGAUUUGAAAAUGGUAGGAUUGAUAAAUAAAGCAGUUGAAGAGUUGUCUAAAGAUGAAAGAACUUCUCCAGAGAUCAGUAUACUUGUAGAGAAAGGUUUAAUUUCAAGGGCUCAAACUAUGGGCAAGAAAGAUGGAAACAAC